AGAGAAAAUUGUCUACUUUUCUCUAUGAGGCCUUCCCAGAAAGAAAGCUUGAAAACAGAAGGAAAUUCCAGCAAAAACACACAAUGCUUUGAAAACAGGAAUUGAGCAACAGGGAAAUGUCUGCCUUUCUGAACAUGAAGACAUUCCUGCAGGGAGUACACACGCCGAGCAUACACGGCAGGGUUAACUGAGCACAAUGUAUUUUAGAAACUGCGGAUCUACUGGGAUUUUCACGCACAACCAUCUCAAAGAGAAAAGCAGCAGUUGUGUGGAUGUAAAAUGCCUUGUUAAUUUCAGAGGAUAAUGGGCUGACUGGUUUAAGAUGACAGAAAGGCAACAGUAACUCAGAUAACCACUGGUUACAACCAAGUUACCAGUAAUACCAUCUCCGAAUGCAACACAUCCAACCUUGAAGAAGAUGGGCUACAACAGGAGAAGACCACACAGGUUGCACUGCUUUCAGCUAAGAACAGAAAACUGAGGUUACAAUUUGCAAAGGACCACUGCAAUUGUACAAUCGAAGACUGGAAGUACGAUGCCUAGUCUGAUGAGUCUCAAUUCCAACUGCGAUAUUUAGAUGACAGGGUAAGAAUUUGGCAUAGACAACAUAAAAGCAUAAAUUCAUCCUGCCUUGUAUCAGCAGUUCAGGCUGCUGGUGGUGUAAUGGUGCAGGGGGACAUUUUCUUUGCACACUUUGGACGCUUGGUUCCAAUAUGCAUUGUUUAUACACAACAGCCUACCUAUUGUUACUGACCAUGUCCACUCCUUUAUGACCACAGUGGACCCAUCUUCUGAUGAUACUUCCAGCAGGAUAAUGCACCAUGUCACAUUACAUCAUCUCAUACAUGACAAUGAGGUCACUGGACUCCAAUGGCCUCCACAGU